AUCUGUGUCUGAAAAAUGUGUAGGUUUUGAAGAGUCCAAUCCACUGUAUAACUCUUGCUUUUAGUAUACAGAACAAACCUUUUAAAAGAGUUCUGGGGGGUUUGUUUUGUUUUGUUUUUGUUUUGCAUUAGUUGGGUGAUCUGAGCCAAGGUAUGUGAGUUUUAUUUCUGGUUGCAAAGUUGACAUAAAGAAAACUUGGAAAACCCAAGAAGAGUCCUGAAAGGAGAGCACAUUACACUGGAAUAUGUUCCAUCACUGGCCAGGACUUUUAAGAACAUGGAGUCAUCAUCAUGGGGAAUGUCCCCUUCCUGAGUGCAAAGCAUGGCUUUCCCAAGACCAGAACCAGCUCAUGAAAAAGAAGAGUCCAGCUGUGGAUGGAGGACCAGGCACUUCUCACCCUUUCCUCUGGCAGGAGUUUGAAGGGAAGGAAGGAAUGGAAGAAGGCUUCAUGUACUCAGCUCUGACCUUGUUCUGAUGCCUGCACUCGGCACUGUCUCAGAUCUCCAGGCAAACCUUCAAGCAAACCUUCAUACAUCACCUUGGCUCUGCCCCAACUUCAUGCCAUGAGGUUCUCAUUUACCCAGCAUUUUCACCCAACACCACAGAACUUUGGUGAAUGAUGGUUAGAACUCAACAAUAGUGAUGUAGGAAUAGGAGUAGGGAAGAGGUAAAUCCCCAUUCUCACUCAAAAUGAGUUAUGAUAUUUUAUUCAUAGCUUGGGUUACUGUCCUAAACAUGCCAAUGACAGCCAAGCUAUAGAAAUUUAAUAGAAAUGUUUAAUAGGUGUGGUUCUUAUAUAAUUUCUUCUCUGGCUUUUUAUAGAUUGAAAUAUGAUUAGCAAAAUGCCCAGAUCUGAAGUAUAAAGCUCUAUGAUUUUUUACCUAUGUAUAUGUUCAUGCGAUUGCUUCUCAGAUCAAGAUUUAGAACAUUUCCAUCACUGGAAGAUUUCUCUUCCUCCACCCAGUUAAUAUUCACCCCUUACCUCCCAAAGCCAGCAGAAUUGAGUAUCUAUCAGUGAAGACUGGUUUUGCCCAUGUUUAGCAUGUAUUUAAAAUGCACAAUAUGAGGAAAAAACCAAUUACAUAAAUCAUUAUACCAAUAACAUCAUUAAAAAUAACUAACACAUACUAAGUGUUGAGUAUGUGCCAGGUACUGGGUCAAAUGCUUUACGUGGACUUUUAUUUCCAUUUAAUCCUAAUAAUACCUCUCAAAUAGACAUAUCACUAUCCAAUUUACAAAGAAAUUCAAGGUUAGAGAGGAUAAAAAAUUUACCCAAGGUCCAGCAGAGGUAGGACCUGGACCAAGUCUAUUAAAUUUUGUUUAAUGUUCUUCAUAAGUUCAUGAGGUUUAAUAGGAAAGUACAUAGACUUUUUAGAGCUUGAACACAGAGGUGUAUUCAGUCCUUCAUCAAAUGAGGAAAUUGUAGGCGAGUUGAAUGAAAACUCAGGUAAGACUCUUUAUCUUUGUGUAAGAUGUAGAUAUAACUUUGCAAAACAAAGCACUGCAUAAUAAUAAUUAAAUGUUAACAUCACUCCAAAUUUUCAUCUGAUUAUAAUAAAUGAAUAUAA